GAAAAAGAAGAAGAAAAACGCGUUUACUGGCCAUCGUGUUUGCGGAGAGAGGAUAGCGCGUACUGUUACGGGAACCUGGAGAAUGUGCAAACCUAAGUGAUCAGAGAAAGCCUACAAAAACAGAGGACGUUCAUUUUAAUCCAGUUCAAGGAAACCCGUCGGCCGUAUUGCCACGCGACAAUGGAGCGAGCUGUCUGGAAAUUUCACCUGCAAGCACAACGAGGAAGUGGGGCGGUGCCCAUGCGAGACCGGAUGAGAUUUCAAAGGGAAGGAAUGGCCAGAGAUCCAUCUUGGCGCGUCCCGUUCACGCCGAUCCUCCUCCUGGAAACUACAACUAAACACGCUGGCGAAAUACGCAGGCCCACCAGUGAUUUAUAUUCACACGCCCGCCAAGCCGCACG